rnacentral:rRNA from 1 species
GAUGAACGCUAGCUACAGGCUUAACACAUGCAAGUCGAGGGGCAGCGGGAUUGAAGCUUGCUUCAAUUGCCGGCGACCGGCGCACGGGUGAGUAACGCGUAUCCAACCUUCCGUACACUCAGGGAUAGCCUUUCGAAAGAAAGAUUAAUACCUGAUGGUAUGAUGAGAUUGCAUGAUAUCAUCAUUAAAGAUUUAUCGGUGUACGAUGGGGAUGCGUUCCAUUAGGUAGUAGGCGGGGUAACGGCCCACCUAGCCAACGAUGGAUAGGGGUUCUGAGAGGAAGGUCCCCCACAUUGGAACUGAGACACGGUCCAAACUCCUACGGGAGGCAGCAGUGAGGAAUAUUGGUAAAUGGACGAGAGUCUGAACCAGCCAAGUAGCGUGAAGGAUGAAGGUCCUACGGAUUGUAAACUUCUUUUAUAAGGGAAUAAACCCUCCCACGUGUGGGAGCUUGUAUGUACCUUAUGAAUAAGCAUCGGCUAACUCCGUG